AACCUAGCACACCUGCGGUGUGUACCUGCGGAGGGAUCAUUAACAAGCUGUGGGAGAUCGAUCAAUUUGAUCUCACACCUGGCCAACCUUGUUAACCUUAAAUAUAUUGCUUUGGUGAGCCCUGCUCACCAAAGUCAAACCCUAAACUCUUGAUUGUUUCUGCUGUCUGAGCAUGCAAGUGCAAAAUUUAGUUAAAAACUUUUAGCAAUGGAUCU
rnacentral:misc_RNA from 1 species